rnacentral:rRNA from 1 species
GUGGGGAAUCUUAGACAAUGGGGGCAACCCUGAUCUAGCCAUGCCGCGUGAUCGAUGAAGGCCUUAGGGUUGUAAAGAUCUUUCAGCUGGGAAGAUAAUGACGGUACCAGCAGAAGAAGCCCCGGCUAACUCCGUGCCAGCAGCCGCGGUAAUACGGAGGGGGCUAGCGUUGUUCGGAAUUACUGGGCGUAAAGCGCACGUAGGCGGAUUGAAAAGUUGGGGGUGAAAUCCCGGGGCUCAACCUCGGAACUGCCUCCAAAACUAUCAGUCUUGAGUUCGAGAGAGGUGAGUGGAAUUCCGAGUGUAGAGGUGAAAUUCGUAGAUAUUCGGAGGAACACCAGUGGCGAAGGCGGCUCACUGGCUCGAUACUGACGCUGAGGUGCGAAAGCGUGGGGAGCAAACAGGAUUAGAAACCCCAGUAGUCC